rnacentral:rRNA from 1 species
AGAGUGAACGCUGGCGGCAGGCCUAACACAUGCAAGUCGAACGGCAGCACAGGAGAGCUUGCUCUCUGGGUGGCGAGUGGCGGACGGGUGAGGAAUACGUCGGAAUCUGCCUAUUUGUGGGGGAUAACGUAGGGAAACUUACGCUAAUACCGCAUACGACCUACGGGUGAAAGCGGAGGACCUUCGGGCUUCGCGCAGAUAGAUGAGCCGAGUCGGAUUAGCUAGUUGGCGGGUAAAGGCCCACCAAGGCGACGAUCCGUAGCUGGUCUGAGAGGAUGAUCAGCCACACUGGAACUGAGACACGGUCCAGACUCCUACGGGAGCAGCAGUGGGAAUAUGGACAAUGGGCGCAAGCCUGAUCCAGCCAUGCCGCGUGUGUGAAGAAGGCCUUGGUUGUAAGCUACUUUGUACCGGAAAGAAAGCUACGUCGGUAAUACCCGGUGUCCAGUGACGGUACCGGAAGAACUAAGCGACCGGCUAACUCGUGACCAGCAGCCGUA